rfam:Triticum aestivum genome assembly, contig: Triticum_aestivum_CS42_TGACv1_scaffold_579137_7BL
AAGUUGAAUGUGAGAUUUGGAGGGAACCAAAUCUUAAGCUAUCAUGCCACAAGAUUUGGUUUCCUCCAGUAUCUCAUCUUCAACUG